rnacentral:piRNA from 1 species
UGGGAAGCCACAGUGAUUCUAUGAAAGC